UGACGGCCAUAUCACGUUGAAUCAUCGGUUCUUGUACGAUCACUGAAGUUAAUCAACGUUGAGUGUGGUCAGUAAUUAGGUGGGUGACUACUUGGUAAUACCAGGUGCUGUAA